GAAAGUGUUGUUGUGGAAUGUGAAGACGACAAAUUUCAGUUGGCAAGUUUUGAGUCUGUGUUCAAUGAUAUUGAUGAUUCGAAGUUUGAUAACUUUUUCUCAUCUCUACUUGAAAUGGAAGACCUUAAGAAGAAGGACAAAAGCAACUUUGAGAUGGACCUGGACAAAUUUUUGAUACCGAAGAAUAACUCCCAUGUUGAUCCUACACGAAAAACAAAUAUUUUUAUUUCUGAACCGAGUCUGUCCUCCAUAGUUGUUUCUGAUACCAUUCCGAAAUAUAAAGUUGAUGUUGGUCAAAUUGUUUUGCCGAUAAAGAGG